UACAGGGGGUGCAAACGUUGCUCGGAAUCAUUGGGCGUAAAGCGCACGUAGGCGGUUCGUUAUGUCGGAUGUGAAAGCCCUUGGCUUAACCGAGGAAGUGCAUCUGAAACUGGCGAGCUAGAGUACGAAAGAGGAUCGCGGAAUUCCCGGUGUAGAGGUGAAAUUCGUAGAUAUCGGGAGGAACACCGGUGGCGAAGGCGGCGAUCUGGGUCGAUACUGACGCUGAGGUGCGAAAGCGUGGGGAGCAAACAGG
rnacentral:rRNA from 1 species